rnacentral:sRNA from 1 species
GUAGUUUGAAUCGGUCUCCCGCUUUUCCACGGAAUGGUGGAUGCGGUGCAUGUCGGGC